CCUACGGGUGGCUGCAGUGAGGAAUAUUGGUCAAUGGGCGCGAGCCUGAACCAGCCAAGUAGCGUGAAGGAUGACUGCCCUACGGGUUGUAAACUGCUUUUAUAAAGGAGUAAACUUAGACACGUGUAUCUGUUUGUAUGUACUUUAUGAAUAAGGAUCGGCUAACUCCGUGCCAGCAGCCGCGGUAAUACGGAGGAUCCGAGCGUUAUCCGGAUUUAUUGGGUUUAAAGGGAGCGUAGGUGGGUUGUUAAGUCAGUUGUGAAAGUUUGCGGCGCAACCGUUAAAUUGCAAUUGAUACUGGCAGCCUUGAGUAGAGAUGCGGUAGGCGGAAUGCGUGGUGUAGCGGUGAAAUGCUUAGAGAUCACACAGAACACCGAUUGCGAAGGCAGCUUACCAAACUGCAACUGACAUUGAUGCACGAAAGUGUGGGUAGCAAACAGGAUUAGAUACCCCUGUAGUC
rnacentral:rRNA from 1 species